AUUGAACGCUGGCGGCAGGCCUAACACAUGCAAGUCGAGCGAGAAAGGUCUUCGGACUGAGUACAGCGGCGGACGGGUGAGUAAAGCGUAGGAAUCUACCUGGUAGUGGGGGAUAACUUGGGGAAACUCAAACUAAUACCGCAUACGCCCUACGGGGAAAGGCGGGGACCGUUCGGGCCUCGCGCUAUCAGAUGAGCCUGCGUAGGAUUAGCUAGUUGGUGAGGUAAAGGCUCACCAAGGCGACGAUCCUUAGCUGGUCUGAGAGGAUGAUCAGCCACACUGGGACUGAGACACGGCCCAGACUCCUACGGGAGGCAGCAGUGGGGAAUAUUGCGCAAUGGGCGAAAGCCUGACGCAGCCAUGCCGCGUGUGUGAAGAAGG
rnacentral:rRNA from 1 species